UAGGGAAUCUUCGGCAAUGGGGGCAACCCUGACCGAGCAACGCCGCGUGAGUGAAGAAGGUUUUCGGAUCGUAAAGCUCUGUUGUAAGAGAAGAACGUGUGUGAGAGUGGAAAGUUCACACAGUGACGGUAACUUACCAGAAAGGGACGGCUAACUACGUGCCAGCAGCCGCGGUAAUACGUAGGUCCCGAGCGUUGUCCGGUUUUAUUGGGCGUAAAGCGAGCGCAGGCGGUUUAAUAAGUCUGAAGUUAAAGGCAGUGGCUUAACCAUUGUUCGCUUUGGAAACUGUUAAACUUGAGUGCAGAAGGGGAGAGUGGAAUUCCAUGUGUAGCGGUGAAAUGCGUAGAUAUAUGUAGGAACACCGGUGGCGAAAGCGGCUCUCUGGUCUGUAACUGACGCUGAGGCUCGAAAGCGUGGGGAGCAAACAGG
rnacentral:rRNA from 1 species